ensembl:lncRNA
AUAUAUAUAUAUUUUUUAAAGCAAUAUGCACAUGUUUAUUGUGUGAUAUUUACAUAUCUACAGUAUGACACAGCACUACGCUGUGAUGAUGCACGCUGACACAGAUUGCACCGCUAUGGGUUAGUUAGGCCACAGUGGCAGGUUACCAUGGUGUUUAGACUCUAGACCAAAGGGGUGGGUAACCCUGCUCUUGGAGGGCUGCAGGCACUUCAUGUUUACGACUUAACCAACCUGGAAGACCAGAUGUGUUGAAUAUAGGCAAUCACUUGAACUGAUCCAUUAACUAAGUGUCACGGUGUGGUGCCGAGUCGGGACAAAAUGCUGCAGCACCUACAACACCCCAGGAAAAUGGUUCCCUACCCUCGACCAUGUCAAGUAUAGCUACAGUAUAAUAUACAUCUUUUGGCUUCAUGAAGGAUGGUAGAACAAUGUGAACAAUGCAACAUUCAGAGUACCAUGACUGAGAGACACGGGAACAGACAGCAGACAGUUCUUUUGUUGAUCGAGGACUCUCUAGUCCCGUUUAUACCUGGCGCUAGCAUACGUCCUUUUUGUCCUGAUCUUGUCCUCAUUCUAAUUGAGCACAGAGAGAUAGAGACAGAGAGAGGGACAGAGAGAGAGAGACAGAAAGAGAGACAGAGAUAGAAAGAGAAAGAGAGAGAGACAGAGAGAGGGACAGAGAGAUAGAGACAGAGAGAGGGACAGAGAGAUAGAGACAGAGACAGAGAUAGAAAGAGAAAGAGAGAGACGGAGAAAUAUGGAUGUAGUGGGUGUUCUUGGUUAGGAGAGAUAGUGUAAAGAUCAGAUCACUGAUAACCUUUUGGCUUUAUUAUGUUCUCUCUGUGUAGAGGAUAUAGGAUACAGAGACACACAGGGGAGGAAGAAGCCCUGCUAGUGUAAACCUCUUACUGUCAACAGGGAGAGUAGAUCCCUAGAUCCCGUGCAUAGAGAGACUAUUCCUAUCUCUCUGAGGGUAAGUAGAUCCCUAGAUCCCAUGCAUAGAAAGACUGUUCUUAUCUCUCUGAGGGACAGUAGAUCCCUAGAUCCCAUGCAUAGAAAUACUGUUCCCAUCUCUCUGAGAGACAGUAGAUCCCUAGAUCCCAUGCAUAGAAAUACUGUUCCUAUCUCUCUGAGGGUAAGUAGAUCCCUAGAUCCCAUGCAUAGAAAUACUGUUCCUAUCUCUCUGAGGGACAGAGGAUCCCUAGAUCCCAUGCAUAGAAAUACUGUUCCUAUCUCUCUGAGGGACAGUAGAUCCCUAGAUCCCAUGCAUAGAAAUACUGUUCCUAUCUCUCUGAGGGACAGUAGAUCCCUAGAUCCCAUGCAUAGAAAGACUGUUCCUAUCUCUCUGAGGGUAAGUAGAUCCCUAGAUCCCAUGCAUAGAAAGACUGUUCCUAUCUCUCUGAGGGUAAGUAGAUCCCUAGAUCCCAUGCAUAGAAAGACUGUUCCUAUCUCUCUGAGGGACAGUAGAUCCCUAGAUCCCAUGCAUAGAAAGACUGUUCCUAUCUCUCUGAGGGUAAGUAGAUCCCUAGAUCCCAUGCAUAGAAAUACUGUUCCUAUCUCUCUGAGGGACAGUAGAUCCCUAGAUCCCAUGCAUAGAAAGACUGUUCCUAUCUCUCUGAGGGACAGUAGAUCCCUAGAUCCCAUGCAUAGAAAGACUGUUCCUAUCUCUCUGAGGGUAAGUAGAUCCCUAGAUCCCAUGCAUAGAAAGCCUGGUUGCAACCUGAAAGGUUAUCACUGUUGUGUCUAUGGUGCCUAAAGCAUCUCCUGAUGUAUUUGAACAUCCCCAGCCCACACUGUUAUAGGAAGAGACAAUAGAUAGAACAUGAGGAAAGAGGUGGAGGAGAGACAGGCAGAGAAAGAGGUGGAGGAGAGACAGGCAGAGAAAGAGGUGGAGGAGAGACAGGCAGAGAACGAGGUGGAGGAGAGACAGGCAGAGAAAGAGGUGGAGGAGAGACAGGCAGAGAAAGAGGAGGAGGAGAGACAGGCAGAGAAAGAGGUGGAGGAGAGACAGGCAGAGAACGAGGUGGAGGAGAGACAGGCAGAGAAAGAGGUGGAGGAGAGACAGGCAGAGAAAGAGGUGGAGGAGAGACAGGCAGAGAACGAGGUGGAGGAGAGACAGGCAGAGAAAGAGGUGGAGGAGAGACAGGCAGAGAAAGAGGAGGAGGAGAGACAGGCAGAGAAAGAGGUGGAGGAGAGACAGGCAGAGAACGAGGUGGAGGAGAGACAGGCAGAGAAAGAGGUGGAGGAGAGACAGGCAGAGAAAGAGGAGGAGGAGAGACAGGCAGAGAAUGAGGUGGAGGAGAGACAGGCAGAGAAAGAGGAGGAGGAGAGACAGGCAGAGAAAGAGGAGGAGGAGAGACAGGCAGAGAAAGAGGAGGAGGAGAGACAGGCAGAGAAAGAGGAGGAGGAGAGACAGGCAGAGAAAGAGGAGGAGGAGAGACAGGCAGAGAAAGAGGAGGAGGAGAGACAGGCAGAGAACGAGGUGGGGGAGAGACAGGCAGAGAAAGAGGAGGAGGAGAGACAGGCAGAGAAAGAAGAGGAGGAGAGACAGGCAGAGAAAGAGGAGGAGGAGAGACAGGCAGAGAACGAGGUGGGGGAGAGACAGGCAGAGAACGAGGUGGGGGAGAGACAGGCAGAGAACGAGGUGGGGGAGAGACAGGCAGAGAACGAGGUGGGGGAGAGACAGGCAGAGAACGAGGUGGGGGAGAGACAGGCAGAGAAAGAGGAGGAGGAGAGACAGGCAGAGAAAGAGGAGGAGGAGAGACAGGCAGAGAAAGAGGUGGGGGAGAGACAGGCAGAGAACGAGGUGGAGGAGAGACAGGCAGAGAAAGAGGUGGAGGAGAGACAGGCAGAGAACGAGGUGGGGGAGAGACAGGCAGAGAAAGAGGAGGAGGAGAGACAGGCAGAGAAAGAGGUGGAGGAGAGACAGGCAGAGAAAGAGGUGGAGGAGAGACAGGCAGAGAAAGAGGUGGAGGAGAGACAGGCAGAGAAAGAGGUGGAGGAGAAACAGGCAGAGAAAGAGGUGGAGGAGAGACAGGCAGAGAAAGAGGAGGAGGAGAGACAGGCAGAGAAAGAGGUGGAGGAGAGAGAUGUGCUAAUGCUGCUGCUAUCUGGUGGUGGCUAACCUGCACUGCAGGUAAAACACAAUAGAGUAGGGGUGGGUGGAUGGAUGGGGACAUUUCACAAUGAAACCCGUACACACACACCAUUAUAUUCUAUGAGUAUAAUUCUAAAAUAAACAUAUAUAAUAGAACACAUAUCUUCUUUUACACAUUUCAUCAUAUCAAGACAUAAUCCAGAUGACUUUACACAUCAACAAAAAAAAAACAUUAGUAAUGCUGGAAUAUGAGCUGCCUAAUAAAAGCCUGAUAAUGCCAUUGGGGUGGGAAACCGUUCAGAUCAGCACAGAGGAUAACGCUUUAAAGUCUCUCACUCCAAUGAUUCCUUGUUACAGUCCAAACCCUACUUUCCCUUGAGACGUACAGUGUAGUAAAAAAACAAACAAAAAAAAGAAGCAUUUCCCAGCAUUCC